rnacentral:snRNA from 1 species
AUGGCUUCUUGGCCUUUUGGCUAAGAUCAAGUGUAAUCUCUGUUAUCAGUUAAGCAAGCGCACGAAGAUACUCUCCGGUGCCCCCCAGGGUGCCCUCUGCUCUGCCAUGUUGCAGGAUGGCACUCACAGAUG